UACGUCGUGUGCCAGCGUUAAUCGGAAUUACUGGGCGUAAAGCGUGCGCAGGCGGUUAUAUAAGACAGAUGUGAACUCCCCGGGCUCAACCUGGGAACUGCAUUUGUGACUGUAUAGCUAGAGUACGGCAGAGGGGGAUGGAAUUCCGCGUGUAGCAGUGAAAUGCGUAGAUAUGCGGAGGAACACCGAUGGCGAAGGCAAUCCCAUGGGCCUGUAAGGAAGCGCAUGCAAGCAAGCGGUGGGAGCACACAGGCGGCGAUAACAGCGUAGUCC
rnacentral:rRNA from 1 species